GGUCGCUGCCCGAGGGCGGGGUGCUCGUGGUCGGGGCGUCGGCGACCGGCGUGCAGCUCGCCGCCGAGGUGCGACGCUCCGGGCGGCCG
rnacentral:tRNA from 1 species